AGAGUUUGAUCAUGGCUCAGAUUGAACGCUGGCGGCAGGCCUAACACAUGCAAGUCGAGCGAGAAAGCACUUCGGUGUGAGUAGAGCGGCGGACGGGUGAGGAACGCGUAGGAAUUUGCCCAGUAGUGGGGGACAACAUGUGGAAACGCAUGCUAAUACCGCAUACGCCUUACGGGGGAAAGCAGGGGAUCUUCGGACCUUGCGCUAUGAGAGGAGUUCGCGUCAGAUUAGCUAGUUGGUGGGGUAAUGGCCUACCAAGGCAUCGAUCUGUAGCCGGCCUGAGAGGGUGAUCGGCCACACUGGAACUGAGACACGGUCCAGACUCCUACGGGAGGCAGCAGUGGGGAAUAUUGGACAAUGGGGGCAACCCUGAUCCAGCCAUGCCGCGUGUGUGAAGAAGGCCUUAGGGUUGUAAAGCACUUUCAGUAGGGAGGAAAAGUUAGUCGUUAAUAACGGCUAACCCUGACGUUACCUACAGAAGAAGCACCGGCUAACUCUGUGCCAGCAGCCGCGGUAAUACAGAGGGUGCAAACGUUGUUCGGAAUUACUGGGCGUAAAGCGCAUGUAGGCGGCAUUGCAAGUCGAAUGUGAAAGCCCGGGGCUCAACCCCGGAAGUGCAUUGGAAACUGGCAGACUUGAGUACGGGAGAGGAAAGUGGAAUUUCGAGUGUAGGGGUGAAAUCCGUAGAUAUUCGAAGGAACACCAGUGGCGAAGGCGGCCUCCUGGUUCGAUACUGACGCUGAGAUGCGAAAGCGUGGGGAGCAAACAGGAUUAGAUACCCUGGUAGUCCACGCCGUAAACGAUGGGUACUAGGUGUUGCGGGUAUUGACCCCUGCAGUGCCAAAGCUAACGCAUUAAGUACCCCGCCUGGGGAGUACGGCCGCAAGGUUAAAACUCAAAUGAAUUGACGGGGGCACGCCCAAGCGGUGGAGCAUGUGGUUUAAUUCGAUGCAACGCGAAGAACCUUACCAGGUCUUGACAUCCUGCGAAUUUUCUAGAGAUAGAUUAGUGCCUUCGGGAACGCAGUGACAGGUGCUGCAUGGCUGUCGUCAGCUCGUGUUGUGAAAUGUUGGGUUAAGUCCCGUAACGAGCGCAACCCUUGUCCUUAUUUGCCAGCACGUAAUGGUGGGAACUUUAAGGAGACUGCCGGUGACAAACCGGAGGAAGGUGGGGACGACGUCAAGUCAUCAUGGCCCUUACGACCUGGGCUACACACGUGCUACAAUGGCCGGUACAGAGGGUUGCUAAGCCGCGAGGGUGAGCUAAUCCCACAAAACGUCUCGUAGUCCGGAUUGGAGUCUGCAACUCGACUCCAUGAAGUCGGAAUCGCUAGUAAUCGUGAAUCAGAAUGUCACGGUGAAUACGUUCCCGGGCCUUGUACACACCGCCCGUCACACCAUGGGAGUGGGUUGCAAAAGAAGUGGGUAGCAUAACCUUCGGGAGUGCGCUCACCACUUUGUGAUUCAUGACUGGGGUGAAGUCGUAACAAGGUAGCCGUAGGGGAACCUGCGGCUGGAUCACCUCCUU
rnacentral:rRNA from 1 species